rnacentral:lncRNA from 1 species
CCACACGAGCCCACGAAUCACGAUCAGAAAUCCUGAUCCAGGAAAUUAGCAUAGUAUACUAGUACUGCAUGAAUCCUUCUUCGAUGGUCGAUCAGAUGCCUCCUUCUUGAUUUAGACUCUUUCAAAGAUGAGAAGUAGGAGAAGGAAUUUUAGAUAAAACACUCUCAGAAAGCUUAUAGAUGGAGGAAGGGAAGAGAUGAUCCCAGCAUCUCUAGAAGAAGACCCUCUUUUUCUUCUCUUUGCUCUAACCC